UACAGAGGUCUCAAGCGUUGUUCGGAUUCAUUGGGCGUAAAGGGCGCGUAGGCGGUGUGUCAAGUCAGGCGUGAAAGCCCCGGGCUCAACCUGGGAACCGCGCUUGAGACUGGCACGCUAGAGUCCGGGAGAGGAUGGUGGAAUUCCCAGUGUAGAGGUGAAAUUCGUAGAUAUUGGGAAGAACACCGAUGGCGAAGGCAGCCAUCUGGACCGACACUGACGCUGAGGCGCGAAAGCGUGGGGAGCAAACAGG
rnacentral:rRNA from 1 species